ensembl:lncRNA
UGGGAGAAGAGCUCCUCCUCCCUCGUGCUUCCUGUCCGAGGCCUUCCCAGGAGCCCUCACCACCUUCCUGGGGUCUGGCACCGGCUUAACUGGAGGGUGAGGCCUCACGGGCCGGUGCAGAGCCCAGCUUGCGGCCAUCCGAGAGGGAAGACGGUGGAGCUGGAGCCCCAAACAGCACUGAGCAAACCCCUUCUGGGGCCUCCCGCUGACCUCACAGUCAGCCCGGGGUGCCGGCUUCCAUCGAUCUGUAAGAUAUUGGCGUGAUGGCUUGUGCACUUAGCUGCAGCAUCGAUCAGACUGUGCCAGGGCGCUGGGAAGGGCUCGAGUACGCGGUGUGCCAAGACUCACGGGCAGAGUGUCGACCUAGAGAGCUGGGCUGCACAGAGGCCCUGCCGCACCUGGAAAAGGCCAUGUGGGGUCUCAUCGUGCAAGGCCUUGGCGCUGAUGACUUCGAGGAAGUCAGUCCACACAGCCCACCACCUUCUGGGAUGUCCCCAGAGAAGUGUCUGCUUCUGCGUCCUCGCCACCGCACCGUGGGCCCCUGAGGUCAGGGCCCUUGCGUCCUCACUGGCGCACAUCGGGGCUAGAACACUCUUGUCUUCAGAAGGUGUUUGGUGCCACUGCAAAGAGGACUGGCGGAGGAAUGGGAGGAAAACCUCCCUGAGCUAGAGCCCUCCAGCUGGUUCCCUUCUUCACUAGACUCCCUCUCUCCUCCCCAUGUCUGUUUACAUCACAGCACCCCUCCCUUGCCCCCCAAGUAGUUAACAGACUGCACACGCUCCGCCAGCCAGUGUGGUCCUCUUCGCUGCCACAGGCUCUGAGCGGUUGUGGUCACAGACAAGCAUUGAUCAGAUUAGCAACCUUGUGACUAUUCAUUAAUUGUAUUUUCUCUUGGAGCUGUAUUCAGCUCAAUACCAAGUACAUUGUUGGUGGCAUGAAAAGUAAAUAGAAAUAGGACGCUUGUUAUAUUUAGAAAUGAACUAGCUGCUACCUUUUCCAAAGAGAUUUUAAGAGGAUAGAUAGGUUAACACAAUGUUAAUUUUCCUGGGGUAAGAUAGCUAAGCUUUCCCAAGAGUCAUUUCUGUAAAAGGCCUUUUAGGGUUCCGGUUUCUUUGCGGUUUUAGGAAACUCUGCCUUGAUGUAUUUGGCUGAGGUCCCCUGGGGCAGAUGUCAAAGAGGGCGGGCAAAAACCCUUGAAGCCAAGAGGAAAAGAAAUCUGGUUAUUUCUGAACUGGACGGCAGAGUGCUCAAGUAUUGCAUGAGAUUUAAACAGGACAGGAAGAAGGACUUAGCCAGGGCACGUCUCUAUCUGAGAUGGCCAAGGGCCAGAGGUUGGGUGAUGCUCCCAGGAUGGAAGGCUCUGUCGUGCUGAGUGAAGCAGAGUCCAGUCAGAGGAAGAGGGGCACUCAGGGGACAGUCACUUGGUCUCUCUCAAGAGACUGAGGCUCUUGGCAGUUGGAGGCCCGACAGAUGUCACUCACUGGGUCGUAAACCAAGUAACUGACACACUUUCCACUGAUGUCACUGACACCAUCUGAAAUCGUCAGGAUCACAAGCAACCUCGGGUGCUGCCCCUUCGGUGCUGUUCAUUUUCAAGAGUCAUAGCGAAAAGUCGCUAAAUAAUUAUCCAUGAAAAUUCCCUGACAGGGAGAUCUAUUAGUGAGUGGAAUACUCUCCCUAGACAAAUGGUUAAGAAUGCCAUUAUUUGAUACUUAUUUAAAUGAUAUUAGAUAAAGAACUGAGGAAACGGGGGAAGGGGAGAUGCUUGGAAAACUACNNNNNNNNNNNNNNNNNNNNNNNNNNNNNNNNNNNNNNNNNNNNNNNNNNNNNNNNNNNNNNNNNNNNNNNNNNNNNNNNNNNNNNNNNNNNNNNNNNNAAGAACUGAGGAAACGGGGGAAGGGGAGAUGCUUGGAAAACUACACGCCAAAGCCACAUUUGUGCCUGCUGUCCAUCACGCACCCUUUAUGAAACCAUUUGCAUCUUUCUCAUGUGCUGCUAUAACCCGGCUCCUUUCCUAGUCUGUGAGGGGGAACACACACUACUUGGGCCUUUCUACACGAAGUCAAUGAUUUAAUAAUGGAUGAGCUCCAGGUACCGUCAGUUCAGCUCAGUCACUCAGUCACGUCCGACUCUUUGCGGACUGCAGCCCGCCCGGCCUCACUGUCCAUCACCAACUCCCGGAGUCCACCCAAACCUAUGUCCAUCGAGUC